rnacentral:rRNA from 1 species
CCUACGGGGUGCAGCAGUGAGGAAUAUUGGUCAAUGGACGCAAGUCUGAACCAGCCAUGCCGCGUGCAGGAAGACGGCUCUAUGAGUUGUAAACUGCUUUUGUACGAGGGUAAACGCAGAUACGUGUAUCUGUCUGAAAGUAUCGUACGAAAAAGCAUCGGCUAACUCCGUUCCAGCAGCCGCGGUAAUACGGAGGAUGCGAGCGUUAUCCGGAUUUAUUGGGUUUAAAGGGUGGGCAGGCGGUCGGUUAAGUCAGCGGUCAAAUCCCGGGGAUCAACCCCGGCCCGCCGUUGAAACUGGCAGUCUCGAGUUGGAGAGAAGUAUGCGGAAUGCGCGGUGUAGCGGUGAAAUGC